GAAUUCAGAAUAGCUAACGCAAAGUAUUCUGCUUGGGGAGUAUUAUCGCAAGAUUAAAACUUAACUGAAUUGGCGGGAAUUUGUUCGAACGGUGGAACAUGUGGUUUAAUGCGAUAAUCCACGCAAAAUCUUACCAACGUUUUAGGCUUUAUCUGAUAAUAUGGUUAAC
rnacentral:rRNA from 1 species